GUGCCCGCGGCACGCCAGUCCCUAUGACAGAAAGCAUCUGCUGAUGGAGGCGGAGUUGGGAGAGGAAAAGUUCGGGAGACACCUGGUUGAGAGCAGGCUAAGAAAACAAAUGGGGAGGAACUAGCCACAAGUCCUGAAAUAGCCACUCAGGGGCAUCUGCAUGGACAGUUUCCAAGCUUUGGAUGCAGUGAUGGAGACCAGAGCACACCUGAGACCUCAGUGAAGAAAGUAGUUCUGGCGAAUCGGAUUAAUAUGGUAUGAGCAAGAUUGUCACUUUUCCCACUGAUGAUGUGAUAUGGUGUACGCGUGUGUAAUGCACACACGUGUAUGGGUGUGUUGCGUCUUCUGAGUUUUUUUCAAGGAGAAACUUUUUAGUGACCUGAAAAAGUUAAUUCAGUUGGCUACACUAGAGUUCAAUCGAAAACUUCAAAAGAGUGCAUCAUCUUAAGCUACCUAACAGAAUCACAACCUCCAGCUCAGAAUUCAAGAAUGGGCAAGUUUGUGAAAUAGGAAGCUCAGGAAAGUUUGGGGGCCAGUGAACUCCUAUUUAUUUAAAGUUCUUGGGGCUGCUUGGACUUUCUUCCCAGGGAAGGUUUAUAACUUUCAUCAGAUUUCCAAAGGGACCUAGGACCCUGCAAGCUGAUCCAUAUAGUGGGGCAGCCAAGUCAAUCAAGAGAGAACUGGGAGGUGGAUAAAAACGUUCAUCUUAAGGUUGUUGUGAAGAUUAAGUGAAAAAUGUAGAGAAAGUGCUGAGCACAUCCCUUGGCCCAAGGAAUGACAUCAUUUUUUCUUUUUAAAUAACAAAAGCUAAUCUGGCAGGGCCUGAGCAGAAAAUUGUGCCUAGGUGGCUUCCCUUUCACGUCCUCACCCUCAAAUAAAUCAACGUAUUCACUGAAAUUUGGGCUAGGGGAAAACUGUAAGAUAUUCUGUAUUUGGAAGUCAUGGAGAUUUGCAACAAAAAAGGAAACACAUGUUUUCUCCAAAUAGGAAAGAGGAGGAAACAAAAAUUAACAUUUUUGAUCACUUUUUUUCUAGCACCACUAAAACUUGACCUUCUUUAUAUCUCAAUGCCCACAUCCCAAAUAUUUCCUGUUUUCCAGGAAACGGCGUCACUACCCAUCUCUUCUCAGGCCUCAACCCUGGAGGAUAACCUAAUUUCUCACUCCCUCACUCCCUACCUGCAGUCCUUCAGCAAGUCCCGUUGGUUGGGCUGCUAAACUAUGGACUAAAUCUUUUCAGUACUUUCCAUGCCCACAGCUACCACUCUGGUCCAAGCCAAAUUCUUAGUUCCCCUGGACUUCUUACUGCAGUAGCCUCUCAGCUUCCACUCUUGGCAAAAACAAUUUUAUAAAACCUGAAAUCCCUUAAUGCCUACCACUCGUCUGCUUAAACCUUGGCAUCCCACAUCUACUGCUAUCAGAGAGGAUCACGUUUGUUGUCUUCUUCCCCCAUUUAUUUGUAAGUUCCACGGUAAGGACCUGCUCCUACAUCCCACACCUGUACAUCCACAGAGCCUGGAGACCGCAGGCGCGGGGAAAGCACUCCACGACUCUCACUGGCCAGGACACAAGAGUGCUGGAUCUGAAUCUGGAGCCAGACUUUCAGCGCUGAAAUAAACCUGAGGUUUUCCAGAGACAUUUAACUUCGUUUUACAGUCAAGGAUUCACCUAAGAAAGGGGAGUGACUUCCUGCAGUAACCCAGCCACUCUAGAGAGGGAGCCCACCACGACCUGGGAGUCUUAAAAGUCAGCAACCUUUUCCCCUCCAAAGCGCAAUGUUCCCUCAAUCCCCCGCGCGCGGCACCAGCAAAAACCCGGAGAAGCGGAGCCUUUCUCAAGGAAAAUGACCUCCAAACUCACGCUACCCGCUCGACCGGUGCGCGGGUCACGCAUGCGCAAGGCCGACCCGCCGCACCCCGCCAACUCCUAUUCGGACACGUCAUCUAGGUCGGCCGAGGUCCGAUGGAAAGGGAAGGGAUCGGGGCUUGGCCGCGGGGCGGAGAGGUCCCCCUACUUCCGGAUCCGGCCUCUCCUGGGCAACUCCUCGCUCGGGGUUCCUUGGUUACCUGGCAGCGGUGCCUACUCGAGGCCAGGGAGUGGCGGAGAGAGAGAUCGUCCGCCCUCCACGCAAGCCACAAAAUGGAGGCCCCCGCUAGAGUGGCAGUUCCGGUGGCAAACUGGAAAGAAAUGAAGUUUUUCCUUCAUUCUCCCCACGACCGUGAGGCUCCUUUUCUCAAAGUACUAAUACUUUUAUUGGGACUGUAAAACUUGAGGGAUAUGACUUUUUCCUUUCCUCUGCUUCAGAUUGCAUUUGCUAACUGAUUUACUGCCAAUACUAUGUGCUGUCAUAUUCAUAGAGACAAAGUAGCAGUGGUGGUAGAGAGGCUAGGGAAGGAGGGAUGGGGAUUUGCUGUUUAAUGGGCAGAGAGUUGCAGAUAUGGGUUGGUGAAAAAGUCGGGAUGAAUGGUGAUGACUGCACAACAAUGCAAAUAUACUAAAGUCACAGAAGUGUACACUUAAAAAUGGUUAGGCGGUAAGUUUUCUAUUAUGUGUAUUUUACCACUAUUUAUUUUUAUUUUAAUUUAUUUUUUUGAGACAAAGUCUCACUUUUGCCCAGGCUGGAGUGUAGUGGCGCGAUCUUGGCUCACUGCAAUCUCCACCUCCCUGGUUCAAGCGAUUCUCCUGCCUCAGCCUCCGGAGAGGCUGGGGAUUGCAGGCGUCCGCAACCAUGCCUAGCUAAUUUUUGAAUUUUUAAUAGGACGGGUUUCACCAUGUUGGCCAGGCUAUGCUGGUCUCUAACUUGUGAUCUCAGGCGAUCCGCCUGCCCCAGCCUCCCAAAGUGCUUGGAUUACAGGCGUGAGCCACCACACAAGGCCCAACAAUUUUUUUAAAAAUGUCAUUUGUUUCUUCUACUCCUCUCUGCCAAAAUAAUUUGGACAGCCUUUUCUGAGUUUCCCAUGAUGACUUCUGUAUAAGAUUGUCAGAUAUAGUAAAUAAAAGUACAGUAUGCCCAGGUGAAUUUUAAUUUCAGAUGAUAAAUGAUUUUUUAGUAUAAGUACAUUCCAACUAUUCCAUGGGACAUAAGGAUAUUUUAUCUGAUCACCCUACUUUUGUGUUAAAAUUAUUAGCAAAACUGCUCCCAUUUUCAGGAAGUACACACUGAACUCCACUAGUGAUACAGGAGAAUAGGGUCUGGAGACAGAACCUGAAGUUGUUUCACACUGACUUCCUACAGCCAUUUGGAAAGGAAAACCCUAACUUUCCACUCCUAAGUAGCAAAAGGCCCAGAGGCUACUCCCUUUACAAAUCCCCACCUUUUCUGUGCUGCAGCUGGAAAACUGAAAAUAACCUCUGACUGGUUGCUUUCUGCAAGAAUCUGAUGUUUCCAUAGAGUGUAAAUUUGUAACUUCACUUGAUUACAAGGCCAAGAUUGCAGGGCCAAGUCUUCCUUUGCAUAGAAGUGCAACUUUGUAACUUCACUUUAGCCUCUGAUUGCAGGCCACCACUUCAUUUGCAUAGAGUGAACACCAAGUAAGUGGCCAAUGGGAAACCCCUAGGGGUUAUUUGAACCCGAGGAGAUUCUACAUCGGGGCCCUUGAGCUGCUACUUGGCCAGCUCUCACACUGUGGAAUGUACUUUGAUUUUCAAUAGAUCUCUGCUUUCCUUGCUUCAUUCUUUCCUUGCUUUGCUGUGUGUUUUGUCCAAUUCUUGGUUCAAAAGAACCUGGACAACUUGCAGCAAGACCCUCUACUGGUAACAUAUUUUGGUAAGCCAGGUAGGAGGGAAGCCCAAAGUUUGGGAUUUAUUUUUCUCCUCUCUUUUCCUCUCUGCUACAUAUAGGAGAAUCUUUCUGUUUUCCUUUCCAACUCGUGACCCUCUGUGAACAGUGCCUAUGCACGGAAACAACUGCAACUUUCUGGCCGGGGCCACUCUGGUGAAACUGAAAGUCUUCCACGUGAAAGCACCUGACCAACACCACAGGGUUCGGAUGAGGGACCUGAGUCCUUUUCCUUAUUAUUAUUUUUUGUUGUUGUUGUUUGUUUGUUUUUGAGGGGUGUGGUAUUUUUAGUAGAGACAGGGUAUCACCAUGUUAACCAGGAUGGUCUUGAUCUCCUGAGCCUCUUUGAUCUCCGAUCCACCUGCCUCGGCCUCCCAAAGUACUGGGAUUACAGGCAUGAGCCACUGCACCUGACUUUGUUUUUGAUUUUCUAAGUUCUAUUCCUUUUCUCCUUCUUCUGAUAUUCCUUUUUCUCUUUUUCAGUCUUUGAGCUGCUGUUUUCUAGUAGCUCCUUGGCGAUUGAGGGGAACUGGUGGGGGCUACUCUCUUGUGUUGUCUGAAGGCCAAGGAGUGAACAGGGAUGGCUGCCCUGCCUGGAAGAGGGAAAUUCUAUUUUCUAUCCUUUCCAGUUAUAGUCCCUGAUCUCUACAUGUGAUGGAGUUGGCAGCAGAAGCUCAUCCUGGACGAACUCACACACAUUUCAGGCAACUUAAGCCUUCUUUUCUUAUGCUAAAUGUUUACCUUUACCUACUCAUCUGGGUAAAGGACAGACUAGCUGUGUAAAAAAAGGUUAUACAAGUCAGAGGGUCUGGGCAUGUCGUAGGUGGUCUGUGUGGGGCAUGGGGUGUGUGUGGGGGAAACUCAUGAAAGGGAAUGUAUUAUUGCCUAAUUUAAAGGGUUACAUUUAAAGGGUUAAAGGGUUGUUUAAGUAGGAUAGAAAAGCCUUAAGGAAAGUUCAUAGACGGUGCUCAGUGGUGGAGGGAACCAUUCCAAAGCAGUGCCAGCACCCAUCUAAGGUCAGAGACAUCUGACAGACUAAAUCAGGGUCCUAAAGUGGGGAUGCCCCUGGGGACCCCAGUCUGGAUCCAGAAUUUUUUCAGGGGGAUGCCUUGAGUAAAAUUUGGGCCACCUAACGGACCCUCCACUUUUCAAAGUCCUCUUCUGUCCUUCAGACCACUAUAGGCUACUCUCUAUUCCACCUGAUUCCACUGUGAGCAAUGCUACACCCCUUCCACCAGAUGCCCUGCUUGGCUACAUCCUCCACCAUUAGAAUCAAUUUGACCCUGAAAAUCUAAAGGGAAAACACAUAAUUUUUUUCUGCAAUAUGAUUUGGCCCCAUUAUGACCUCCCCAGCCCCCAACAAUGGGCAGACAAUGGUAGCCUUAACUAUGACACCAUCCUGCUAUUAGACCUACUUUGCAAGAGGCAGGAAAAAUAGUCAGAAAUCCCAUAUGCACAGGUUUUCAUGCUCCAAUAGAAAAAAAACUAACAAUCCGCAAAACUCCCAGAACCCAACCCCCGCAAAGGAAAGUGCUAAGGCAGAACUAGAUAUUAUAGAUGACCCCCUUUUACAAGGGCCAGCUGUCUCUCAGGGUGAACAGGAACUACCCCCAUAGAGCCCCUUGCCAAGUGCUUCUGAGGUGCAAACACCAGGGACCCUACUAAAUCCCCCUCACACUCAGAGAUGAACACCAUAUUCAAUUCUCUCUCCAGCCCUGCUACCUCCUAGGAAAGUAGCAGGAGCCAAGGGGCCAGUCCUCUUACAGGCUCCUUUCUCUGUAACUCACAUACAAUGUAAGGAAAAACUAGGAAGCUAUUCCAAGCAUCCUAGGAAAUUUGCGGAUGGGUUCCAGACUUUGACCUUAGCCUUUGCUUUCUCAUGGAGAGAUGUUCGAUUCAUCCUAGCAACUUAUUACACUCCCUUAGAUAUAAGCUCCAAAAGCUACAGAUGGGCCACAAACUAAUCAAAAUCAGCUUCUUGAUAUCACCAUUAUGGUGUAUAACAAUCAUGACCUGAAGGAAGGAAAAAGGGAACAGAAUAAAGAAAAAUGGCAAGCCAAAAUUAUGGCAGCCAUCAUUGGCCAAGCCCUGAAUGUCCAAAGAAUGUCUAAGGGAAACCCGAAGGACCAUAACGAUAAUGCCAGCAAAGGUUCCUGCUUCAAAUGCAAGGAAAGCGGGCAUUAGAGAAAGGCAUGUAUUACGCACCCCCAACCCUGGCCCCUGCUGUCAAUGCAAAGGCACCAGUUGUGGCCCCUGGCACUGGAGAAUUGACUGCCUGUGCUCCCACCGAGAGGGUCAGUCAAAACUAGCAGUGUGAAAGGAGGAAUUAGAUGAAGACCCAAGGGGCUCAGGGUCUUCCUCACUGCCCUUGUCCUGGAACAUUGUAAUUACUACUGAGGAGCCCCAGCUAACUCUAGACGUCAUGGAUACCCAAAUUUAGUUUCUUUUUGACAAGGGGGGAAUUACUCUGUCCUUACUGCUUACACAGGAAAGCCUUUCCUCCCAGUCUGUAAGUGUUAUGAGAAUGGAAGGGAAGCCAUAAACAAGUUCAUUGUUUUUUGUUUUUUUUUAAUGUUACUUUAAGUUCAGGGAUACAUAUGCAGAAUGUGCAGGUUUGUUAUAUAAGUAUACACAUGCCAUGGUGGUUUGCUGCACCUAUCAACCCAUGAUCUAGGUUUUAAGCCCCACGUGCAUUAGGUAUUUGUCCUAAUGUUCUUCCUCCCCUUGCUCCCCACCCUGAAACAGGCCUUGGUGUGUGAUGUUCCCUGUGUCAAUGUGUUCUCAUUGUUCAACUCCCACUUAUUAGUGAGCACAUGUAGUGUUUGGUUUUCUGUUCCUGUGUUAGUUUGCUGAGAAUGAUGGUUUCCAGCUUCAUCCAUGUCCCUGCAAAGGAUGUGAAAUUAUUUUUUAUGGCUACAUAGUAUUCCAUGGUGUAUAUGUGCAACAUUUUCUUUAUCCAGUCUAUCACUCAUGGGCAUUUGGGUUGGAUCCAUCUCUGCUAUUGUAAAUAGUGCUGCAAUAAACAUACAUGUACAUGUGUCUUUGUAGUAGAAUGAUUUAUAAUCCCUUGGUUAUAUAUCCAGUAAUGGGAUUGCUGGAUCAAAUGGUAUUUCUGGUUCUAGAUCCUUGAGGAAUCGCCACACUGUGUUCCACAAUGGUUGAACUAAUUUACACUCCCACCAACAGGGUAAAAGCAUUCCUGUUUCUCCACAGCCUCGCCAGCCUGUUGUUUCCUGACUUUCCAAUGACCACCAUUCUAAUUCUCAUGAGAUGGUAUCUCAUUGCGGUUUUGAUUUGCAUUUCUCUAAUGACCAGUGAUGAUGAGCUUUUUUUUUUCAUAUGUUAGUUGGCCACAUAAAUGUAUUCUAUUAAGAAGUGUCUGUUCAUAUCCUUUGCCCACUUUUUGAUAGGGUUGACAAACAAGAUUAUUUACUCCUCCUUUGAUUUGUCAAUUGGAGAAACAGCUCUUCUAACAGGAAUUCCUAGCAGUACCAAGCUGCCCAAUCCCCCUGUUGGGAAGAGAUAUUAUGGUUAAAAUAGGGCAUUACUACAAUUUAAGCAUCACCCAGUGAAAUUGCUGAUAGUUCAAAAAUGCAGUGUUUCAGGCCACAUUAAUAAACAGCUUAACCCAUUGGCAUUGGUAUACUGGAAAACUAGGGAAGGCUAAAACAGCAGGGCCAGUCAAAAUAGUUUGAAGACCUCAGCUACUUUCCCAAUGGAAACAAUAUUCAAUGAAGCAGGAAGCAAGAAAAGGCCUAGGACCCAUGGUUGAGGUGUUAUUUAUUAUAUGGUCUCCUAAAACCCUGUAAUUCUCCCUGCAAUACCCCCAUCUUAUCCACUCUAAAGCCUCUGGGGGAAUACCAGUUAGUAUAUGACCUCCGAAUAAUUAAUGAGGCUGUUAUUCCCAACCACCCACUGGUGGCAUAUCCAUAUACCCUUAUGGCUCAGGUACCAUGAGAUGCAAAAUGGUUCAGUCCCAGACCUAAAAGAUGCUUUCUUCUCCAUUCCUCUGGCCCCAGAGUCCUAAUACCUCUUUGCCUUCGAAUGGGAAGAUCCUAAUACCAAAGAAAAACAAUAAUAUACUUGGACAGUGCUCCCUCAGGGUGUUAAGGAUAGCCGCUACUCCUUUGCCCCAGCCUUAGAGAGGGGUCUGAGGGAUCUGAACGGGAGUACACUCUAGUGUGUGGAUGACCUUCUUGUGUGUAGCCCAGCCCAGGAGGUUUCUGACCAAACUACAAUAAAAACUUUGAAUUUCUGGUCAGACAGGGGAUACAAAGUGUCCAACAAGAAGGCACAGAUUACCCUUAAUGGAUGCAAUACUUAGGGUCCAUCUUUUUUUUUUUUGAGACGGAGUUUCGCUCUUGUUACCCAGGCUGGAGUGCAAUGGCGCGAUCUUGGCUCACCGCAACCUCUGCCUCAGCCUCCUGCGUAGCUGGGACUACAGGCACGCGCCACCGUGCCCAGCUAAUUUUUUGUAUCUUUAGUAGAGACGGGGUUUCACCAAGUUGACCAAGAUGGUCUCGAUAUCUUGACCUCGUGAUCCACCCGCCUCGGCCUCCCAAAGUGCUGGGAUUACAGGCUUGAGCCACCGCGCCUGGCCACUUAGGGUCCAUCUUAACACCCAGAGCCUGACAAAUAUCCCCAGAACGAGUGCAAGCCACAUGUGGUUUGCCCCUGCCACCGCCCUCCCCAAAACACAUACACCAAGUAGUAGCUUUGUUUGUUUUUGGGAAUGGUGGGGCUUUGCAGAAUAUGGGUUCCAAAUUUCAUACUCAUAGCAAAGGCCCUAUAUGAAGCAACAAAGGGGCCUGAAAAUGAGCUAAUAGACUGAACCCCAGAAAUGAGAGAAGUCUUUGCCAAGUUAAAACAGGCUCCUGUUCUUGGCAUCCCAGAUGUAACUGAGCCCUUCUCUUUGUAUGUAGCAGAGAAGAAGGGAAUAGCUAUGGGUGUAUUCCACAGAAAUUAGGAUCAGAACCUAGGCCAACACCUACUUUUCAAAGAAGUUGGAUGGAGUGGCCUCGGGGUGGCCAAGUUGCCUAUGGGCAAUAGCAGCCCCUGCUAUGUUAGUGGAGGAAGCCACUAAAAUCGCCCUGAGCCAACCACCGGAAGUUCUAACCCCCUCGCCAGGUUAAGUCAUUCUUAGAGAUAAAGGGAUAUAUCUGGAUGACAGGGGAAAGAUUAGCCAAAUACCAGGCCAUGCUCCCAGACAAUCCAGAUGUAACCCCUAAAACCUGCAACACUUUGAAUCCAGCCUCGUUGCUGCCCACAGGCCCAAUAACUGAUCAUUUCUGCCGGCAGGUCGUUGCACAUACAUAAUGUUAGCCGGCCUACAUUAAAGACCAGCCUCCCCCAGAUUCUGAGGAUGAGUGCUUCACAGAUGGCAGUAGUGUUGUGUCAAGUGGGGUUUGACACAGCACUGAGCUGGAUAUGCAGCAGUAAAUCAUAACACAAUCAUCGAAGCCCAGCCACUGCUCCUUGGCACAUCAGCACAAAAGGCUGAAAUCAUUGCUCUUACUUGAGCCUUAAUGUUGAGACAAGGAAAAAAGCUUAACAUCUAUAUAGAUUCUGAAUAAGCAUUUCUUCUAGUUCAUGCUCACACUACAAUCUGGAAAGAAAGGGGAUUACUAACUAGCAAACAGUCCCCUAUAAAGCAUGGGCUUGUCAGCUAUUGGAAGCAAUAAACUUGCCAAAGGCCAUGCUAUAAUUCAUUGUGGGGCAUCAAAGGGACUCAACCACUAUAGCACAAGGGAACAGAAAAGCUGACAGAGAAGCCAGAGCCACAGCCCUCAGGGUGCAAUCCCAACAGAUCCUAGCACUGCUGCCUUUCUGUGAUUCCCCAGUAGAACCUGAGUACACACUACAGGAAGAACCGUUAAUAAAGGAACAAAGGGGACAAAAAGAAAAAAGAAAGGAACUUGGUAGUAGAUGGGGUCAAAAAUAUAUCUCUCCCAGACAGCCCAGUGGAAAGUUAUAAAAGCCAUGCAUGCAUCUUUCCAUGUGGGAAGGGAUGCAACUCUGGCCAUGUUAAACCAGCUCUUUACUGGGUCUAACUUGGCUUCAGUGGCUAAGCAGGUCUGCCAAGACUGCUCGCUGUGUACACUUAACAACCCAGGAAACAACAUGACAACAUGCUUCCUCUAAUAGAACCAGUGCAGAGGAGAGGAAAUUAUCCAGGGGAAGACUGGCAGUUAGAGUUCAUAUGCAGAGGAUAUGUGUUUUUGUUAGUACUAAUAGAUAGUUUUACUGGUUGGGUUGAAGCUUACCUAUCACAACAGAGAAGGUUAAUGAGGUUAUAAAGUUUAUAUUAAAAGAAAUAAUUCCUGGGUUUGGGUUACCUCAGAACCUCCAAAGUGAUAAUGGCCUGUCCUUUAUCUCCCCAAUAACUCAAGGGUUUGCUAAGGAUUUUGGAAUCAAAUAUUAUUUACAUUUAGCAUGGAGACCUCAAUCCUCUGGGAAAGGAGAAAGGGCUGACCAAACUCUAAAAUGAGUGUUGCUAAGCUACGUAAGGAAACAUCAGAAACUUGGGUCAGCUUACUGCCCUUAACCCUCUUAAGGAUCCAUAAUACCCCUAGAGCAAACGUUAAUAUAAGCCCAUAUGAAUCUUAUUCUUCUUGACUAAUGAUUUAAUUACUGAUCCAGAAAGAGCUGAUUUAGUAAAAUACCUAACCAAUCUAGGACAAUUUCAGCAGGCUUUCCAAAAAUGGAAUUCAGAGGCUUCCCACACCGGGAACAACCAGCACCCUAAAAUCAGGUCAGGAGAUAAGGUACUUGUUAAAACGUGGAAGGAGCGAUCACCAGCUCAGCAAUUACAACCAAAACAGAAGGGACUGUUUUCAGUGGUACUGGCCACGCCUUCGGCAGUCAAAGUACUAGGAUUAGAUAGCUAGAUACAUCUUUCAAGGAUCAAGACAGCAAUACUAGAAGACCUGGAACAGGAACCUCAAGUUCCCAUCUGUCACUACACUUGUGAACCUGUGGAAGACCUGAAGUACCUGUUUAGAAGAUAGCCAAAAGAUAAGUAAAUGCCUACCAAUUUUCCUUGGUAUCUUUGUUGCAUAGUUACUAUAGGCUGGAUAAUAGUAGCCAUUUACAAAUUUUUUUCUUUUGCGUUUAAUUGACUUCUUCCAAAUGGAUGGAAUCACUACCUUUGUAGUAACUUUUUUUUUUUUUUUUUGAGAUGGAGUUUCGCUCUUGUUACCCAGGUUGGAGUGCAAUGGCACAAUCUCGGCUCACCGCAACCUCCGCCUCCUGGGUUCAAGCAAUUCUCCUGCCUCAGCCUCCCAUGUAGCUGGGACUACAGGCGCGCACCACCAUGCGCAGCUAAUUUUUGUAUUUUUAGUAGAGACGGGGUUUCAUCUUGUUGACCAGGAUGGUCUCGAUCUCUUGACCUUGUGAUCCACCCGCCUCAGCCUCCCAAAGUGCUAGGAUUAUAGGCGUGAGCCACUGCGCCCAGCCCCUUUGUAGUAAUUAAGCAAAAUGUUUUAAUACAUUUCUAUAACAAACAUUCCUGAUGGCAUAGGUAUCCACCUCCAAAGUUCCCAUUAUAUCUUUUAACCAAAUUCAUUUCCUCUUGCAGUAGAGACUGUCAAGCUUCAGACCAUCAUGUGACAAGGUUUCCAGCCAGUUCCAGGUGAAGACACCACCCCUGGCCAUCAAGAAGCCACCCCAUCUCCACUAGACAGAGCAGGGAGAUUGUUCCGUGAUCUCCAACAGGUAGGGAUACACCCCAAGUCAGCAUAGAAAAAAAGACCAUCAGUCCCUCUGCCUCCCAUAAAGAUUUAUGGGGACCACGUCUCUCAGUGGGGAGAUGAGGCAGGAGAAUAGGGUCUGGAGGCAGGGAAACUAAGGCCAUUUCACACAGACUUCCUAGAACUAACCUGAAAGGAAAACCCUGAUUUUCCAUGCCUAAGUAACAAAAGGACCAGAGGCUACUCCCUUUGCAAACCCUCACCUUUUCUGUGUGUCAGAUGGGAAAUUGAAAGUACCUCUGAUUGAUUGUUUCUGCAACCAAUCACACCUUUGCAUCAGAAUGUAACUUUGUAAUUUCACUUCUGUCUCUGAUCAGCUGCUGUCUGCAACCAGACUGACUGCGGGCCAAGUCUUCCUUUGCAUAUAAGUGCAACUUUGUAACUUCAUCUAAGCCUUUGAUUAGUUGCUUUCUGCAACCAGUCAGAUGUUUGCAUAGGAGUGUCACCUUUGUAACUUCACUUCAGCCUCUGAUUGGUUGCUUUCCACAACCAAUCAGACUGAUUGUGGGCCACCACUUUCUUUACAUGAGGUGAACACCAAGUGGCCAAUGGGAAACUUCUAGGGGACAUUUGGACCUGAGAAGAUUCUGCAUCUGGGGCUCUUGAGUUGCUGCUGUGCUCACUCUCACAGUGUGGAGUGUACUUUCACUUUCAACAAAUCUCUGCUUUUGUUGCUUCAUUCUUUCCUUGCUUUGCCGUGUGUUUUGUCCAAUUAUUUGUUCAAAACACCAAGAACCUGGAAAACUUACAGUCAAGACCCUCUACCAGUUGUAUCCCUGUACAUGAAUGGGCUUUCAAGAUUUUCCUAGAAGAAAAAGAUCACCUCAUUGUCCUUCAUUUUUUGGCAUAAAACUGUGAUUGCCCAAUAGAUAAAAUAUGAGUUACUGAUCACCCCUGGAGAGGAUUAGAAUAUGCCACCCCAAAAUAUGCCACUUUGGCAUAAAGAUUAUUUUGAGCUGAAGGCAAUUGAGAAACAGUAGACACAGGAAAAGCUACCUGUCUUUCCCCUUCUGGUCUAAAAGCAGAAAAUAAAUUUCCCUUUGGAAAUAUGACAUACAGUUUUAUUUAUAAAGGUGUUCCCUUCUCCUCUACCAGGAAGACCUGAGAUGGCACCAAAAUGAAUCUGCCUAACAAACCUUACUACUCAAUUCUUAUCUACCAUACAUUUCAUAGCCACCUUCCCAUAAUUCACUGCCCUUAGGAGCCCAAGUCCCUUCCCUUUGACUACUCACCUCUCUACAACGUAUUACCCUUUGUUAAAAUGGUAUGUAAGCUCCUAAAUUUAACCACGUCUUUCGGUUUUCACUUAUCUGUGAAGCUGCCAUGGAUGUAAAAAUAUUAAUAAAAUUUGUAUGCUUUUUCUCCUGCUAAUUUUAUGUCUUUUAUCGACUUAAUUUGCAGGCCCCAAGUACAUAAUUAAGAGAGUAGGAGGACAAGUGUUUUCUCUCCUACACCUCUUUCCCUCUUAGUGUAAACACUACAGAUUGGAAAUAAAAUUUAUCCUGAACAAUAGGCUUAUAAAUGCAACUAGUGGCUAGGUACAGUGGCUCACACUUGUAAUCCUAACACUUUGGGAGGCUGAGGUGGGUGGAUCACCUGAAGUCAGGAGUUCGAGAUCAGCCUGGCCAACAUGGAGAAACCCUGUCUCUACUAAAAAAUACAAAAAUUAGCUGGGCAUGGUGGUGCACAUGUGUAAUCCCAGCUACUUAGGAAGCUGAGACAGGAGGAUUGUUUGAACCCAGGAGGCAGAGGUUGCAGUGAGCCGAGAUCAUCCCACUGUACUCCAGCCUGGGCAUCAGAGCAAGACACACAUAAGAGAAAAAACAAAAUAAAUAAAAUAAAUGUAACUAGUGGUAGAUUGACGCCAACAUAUAUAAAAUGUUAAGCUUUAAGAUAAAUAGUGGUUCUCAGAACAUAACUUAGCUAAUAUAAAGGCUAUUUAUAAGCUAACAUAGAAGUUGCAACCAGAAGGGGGAUUAUUUUGGCCAGCAGAACCUGGAAAAAUGAAAGCCACAGAGGCAAAUACCAAAGUAUCACUCAGGAAAGACAAGAGUGUAGCUCUGUGAUGUAGAUGGAUAUAUUCUAAUCAUAAAACUAAUUCUACUUCCUCUGAAUUUAUGCCUGCAAAGCAACUUUCUGCUUAACUUUUUCUUGUCUCUGAUGUAUUUUUAACUUAAAUAUCUUUAAACACUUUGAUAAGAGUUCUUAUAUUCUCCUUAGAAACACUUUGUGAGCUAUAUGAACUGCAAAUACUGCUUCAUUGAAAAGAUUCCUAGAAUCAUGAAAGAAAGCAAAGUGCUAAUAUUGUUGUUCACUGCUUCACUUAUAAGAUGAAAUGCAUACCAUAUAUAAAUCUAGAAAAAAUGUCAUAAUUUCAGGUUGAAUGUUAGAGUUUACACAGUAAUCUCGUAUUUCUGUAGAAGUGUCAAAAAAGGGCAAAAUUGGCCGGGCGCGGUGGCUCAAGCCUGUAAUCCCAGCACUUUGGGAGGCCGAGGCAGGUGGAUCAUGAGGUCAAAAGAUCCAGACUAUCCAGGUCAACAUGGUGAAACCCCGUCUCUACUAAAAAUACAAAAACUUCGCUGGGCAUGGUGGCGCGUGCCUGUAAUCCCAGCUACUCAGGAGGCUGAGGCAGGAGAAUUGCCUGAACCCAGGAGGUGGAGGUUGCGGUGAGCCGAGAUUGUGCCAUUGCACUCCAGCCUGGGCCUGGGUAACAAGAGCGAAACUCCGUCUCAAAAAAAAAAAAAAAAAAAAAAAGGCGAAAUUAUAUAGUACAGAGGAGUGAGUGGCUGGAGGCUCUCUAAACAAGGUGCCCACUGGAUGCCAUUAUCUUGGUGAGAAAGAGAAAAGCAGCCACUGACAUGAGGAGUUGGCCUGGUUCUUACAGACAGGACUUGGCAUUCUCCUGUCAAAUAUAAGCAAUUUCACAGAAUAUGAACAUUAGACAAGGCUGUGCUGAUGUAGCAAGACAAAAACCCUGUAACCCUCAGUAAUCAUGUCUCAACAACCUACCAAAACCCGAACAUGGUCCAAACCACAAAAUGACCAAACAUCCCCUAUCUUGCCUAAGAAUAGUGACUACUGCUUCUUUACCAAUUACAAUAUAGGCCUGAGUCUAGUCCACCCUCCUUCUAGAUAAGAGUUUAAAUUAGAUAUCCAAUUUUAAGAAUUACCCCCUGCUUCCUGACAGCAUUUGAUCCAGAGCAAAGCUUCACUUCUUUAAAACACUCCCCAAACCACCAAACACAAGCUCAAUUCUUACAAAUUUCCUUCCACCCCCUCUUACUAGAUGUCCCAUGAUUCCUCUUGGUGUGCAUUCUCGCUUGCUGCAACAAGGAAAUAAAGCCAACUACAAGUGUGUUCCCGGCGGUCUUUAGCUGAAGAGCACUGACGCUGGAGAAUGCAGGAGAAUUCAAGAGCUGGAGACAGCUUACUUGUUAGGACACUAAAAACAGACCUGUCUUUCAAGGGUGAAUUUAUAUUAGCCACAGACAGAAACUGAUGGAUAAAUAACAUUACUAAUUUAUUAAUUUAUGAAAAAGAAAGCUUAGAAGAGUCAGAAAAGGCAAAUGUAUAGAGUGAGAAAAGAGCUGAAUGGUUUCCUGAAGAAAGAAGAAUGUAAAUCAAGUGCAUUUGGCCUCCUUAGCUGGUUUUUGCAACAUCCAUGACAGAAUUCUGAGAUUCUGAGAAGCAGAAUGGACCUGAGAAGCAGACCCCUAUGGGAAGAUGGCAGUCAACACUCCUAGCCACGCUGGGGGGAAUCCCAGCCUCCCGCAUCCAUCCCUGCCAUGACUACCAGCAGCAAGCGAGGCCCCAGGCAUCCUACGGGGCAAUGCCGUUUCUCAAACAUCCCCAGUUGUCAUCAGACACUAAACUGCAGUUUGGCAGUUUGGUAGAGCAAUUGUCUGCCUUUGAGAAUGACACCACACAGCACAAGGAUAUCACUAAAGGCCAUUAACAGGCAUUUGUAGCUUCUUAAAGAUUUGGCCUUGACUCCCAUUAUUAGUUCUGGAACCUAAAAUAAAAUCAAAUAACUUUA